CCUGAUAGCACCCAUGUGUUUGGCCCCCUGGCAGUGACGCAUCAACCUUUGAGGACCACCACAGUUGUGAUAGACAUUGCUCAUUGGUUGGCAUACCAAGGCUGCCUCAAUGUAGGAGACAACAGCUCCCAUGGCACUAUGGCAGAGACCUGGCACAUCCACGGUCUUCCCUGGCAGGUCUUCUGAAGUCUUCCUGAAAGCAUCCCUGGUGAUCUGUGAGCCCUUGGUCGUGUUGCCCGCCUUCUUCCUGUGGGUCUUGCUGGAUGCUCAUUGUCCCUGUGAGCCGAGGCCCUGGAGGCUUCAGAUUUAGGUGAUGUUGCCACGUAUGACUGUCCAUCAGCCAGGAGAUGAACCCCCACCCGUGAGGCAGUGACUCAAGGUGCAAGGGAGUCCGGCAAGAAGUGUGGCGCACCCGAGUUGCUGCCACUGCUUUUUGGAUCACCCAGCACGGUGAUGUUGCCACGUAUGACUGUCCAUCAGCCAGGAGAUGAACCCCCCACCCGUGAGGCAGUGACUCAAGGUGCAAGGGAGUCCGGCAAGAAGUGUGGCGCACCCGAGUUGCUGCCACUGCUUUUUGGAUCACCCAGCACGGUGAUGUUGCCACGUAUGACUGUCCAUCAGCCAGGAGAUGAACCCCCACCCGUGAGGCAGUGACUCAAGGUGCAAGGGAGUCCGGCAAGAAGUGUGGCGCACCCGAGUUGCUGCCACUGCUUUUUGGAUCACCCAGCACGGUACGGCUUCUCCUGCCCCAAGACGUGUCGUGAAUUUCAGGUUUCCUGGGACUGCCUGAGUGGUUGUACGUAUAGAGGGACCGUUCCUCUUGCUGAGAAGCCUGAGGGCUCUGAGUUCCCCUGGCUGCUGGAGGACUCCCGGUCACUGGCUCCUCCUGGGAGCAGCCCUUCCUGCCGUGAGGAGGUGGGCAGCAAGCCAGCACGUGCUCGGAUCGAUGAUGACACCCUCACAUGCAUUCCUUGGAAAAUCUGAACAAAAUGAGUGAGAACUCACUACCGUCUCCUCAUCGAAACUGAGGUCCAGCACGUUGCCUCCCUUGGGGUUAAGGGUGGGACUGGUUAGCAGUGAGGGCGUCUCCGACUGUGUCACACACACGCAUGGAGGAGCCAGGUCACCACCAUUUGCGAGGCUCCCGUGUGAGGGUGGGCCAUGUACAGAUAUUCUAGCGGCCCUCUUGGAAUACAAGGUCCAUGUAAAGGCACUGAGGAGCAUAGAGCCAUCUGGCUUGUCCAGUGGUGGUAGGUGUCGCAGUAGACCCUAGCCUCAGACAGUUGACGUCUUAGCUUGGAAAGGUGCAUUUUGUCCUGAUUCCUGCUGCAGAUGCACUAAUUGGGGCUCUGGUGAUGUCGAUUCUAAAGCAAUGAAGCUUCUGUGGUUUGUGAUUGGAGCCCCAGGUCAGGUCUGAGGCCCUCGCCGUUGCAUCCCUUGGGUUGCUGAGAUUCCUGAGUGCCAGGGGGCUGCAGUGGCUGCAGAGACCUGGGGGAAUGGGGGCAGUUGUGAAAGUUAAUAGGCGGCCAUUUCUGCCCUUGGCAGUGGCCUGAAUUGCAACUCCUGUCACGUGCUUGAGUCUUGGAGGUCGCCAUGGA
rnacentral:lncRNA from 1 species